rnacentral:lncRNA from 1 species
AGUUACAAAAGUAAAAUAAUAAUAAUGAUAAUGAUAAUAUAUCAGGUAACUAUAGUAAAAUAAUAAGUAAUAAUAAUAACGUGUAAAUAAUAAUAGUAAUGAAAGUAAUAACAAGUAAUAAAAGGGAUUAAAUUAAAUUUGAAACAGAAAGUUCGGGGCGAAUUUGAAAAUAAAUGAAGAAGGAAAGGACCAAAUCGAAUGUGCAAACAAAAAGGAGGGACCAAAUCGGACAAUAAACCCUCUCUCUAAAAUGCGUUGUACCACCUAGGACUAAAUUGAAAUCCAAGCGUAAAUUUAGAGCAAGAUUAAGAAUCCAUAAAAACUUAAUUGCUAAGUAGCAGAAAAGCGGAAGGGCUAAAAGCGAAUUAGCCCUUCCAAUGAAAAAAGCGCGGAUCCUGAGUGGAGCGGGUCGGAUUGGGUCGGGUCGCCUCAAAACGACGUCGUUUUGGGGUGUUUUGCGGCUAAAUUAAACGACGUCGUUUUGGUAGUGUUAAUAAAAGGCCAAAUUUUUGCAAAAAAAAAUUCAUUUUCCUUCUCUUUUCUUCAAAAAAAAAACUGAGAGCACCCUUUGGCCCUCUCUCCUUCCCCUCUGGUCCAGUCACCGGACCGUCCCCGUCUGCCACGCCGGCCACCGUCGGCCACCGUCGCCGGCCCCGAAAGCGGUGGCCGGAGUUUAAAAAAGGUAUUUUUUCUUUUUUCCUUUUUAUAUUUUUAUAUGUAAUUGAUUUUUUUAAGGAAAAUAGAGAAAACUUCAAUAUAUGUAUGUAAAUGGGUUCGAAAAUAAAAGGAAAAUAAAUAAAAAAGAAAAAAAAGGUAACCUUUUGCCUUCGUGAAACUUGUUUAAUCUGUUUUUGGAGAUCUGUUUGAUAUUAGGAUCUCUAGUUUGAUCUCUUUUUUUCUCCUUUUCUUGUGUUUGAUGUAUGUUUUCAAGUAUUUUUUCGUAUUGAUUUUUUUUUUUUUUAAAGUGUCAAUACAAGUGGUUUUGUGGCUUUAUAUAGCCAUUCUUACAACUUGUUGUUUUUUUAAUCUUUCUAUCACUUCUGUUGCAGGUGGAUGAGGUCAAUGGUGGCAGGUGGAGCGACGGUAUGGUGGCUGAUAGAGGCUAGGGCGGCUGACCUAGGGUUUUUUUUAGUUUCUUUUUUUUAAUUGUUGUGGGCUAGGGUUAAAAGAAUUUUGGGCUGCAUUGUUUUGGGCUUAGUGGGUUUAGGUUCGUUUAGGGUUAGUGGGUUGGUUGAUGGGUUUAGCUAAUGUUGGGUUUGGGUCUUGUUUUGAGUUAGUGGGUUUAAUUUAGGUGGGUUAGGUUUAAGCUAAAAUGGGCCUGGGCAAAAUUGGUGUGUACAUAUUGUAUCUUGAAUGUUUUUAUUUUUAGGCAUGAAUUAAUUUUCUAAAUACCUAGGGAGAUGAACCUUAUGAUGGAUUCUUACGUUUGAUUUUUAUUUUACGUAACAAAUACUUAUUUUUUUUAUUCUUAAUUAUGUGUGCUUAAUUUCUUAGUUUACUAUUUCUAAACUAUUUAUCCAUAUUUGAUGUACUUAAAUCGGAGAUUAAAUAAACC